GGUCCAGUAGUGUAGUUGGUUAUCACAGCGGAUUCUGAUAAUGAGUGUUCCGCUAACCUGGGUUCGACUCCCAGCCGGACCU
rnacentral:tRNA from 1 species